GUAUCAGUGGGGUAGUGGUAACCUGGGUUGUCGCCAUAGUUCCCAUGUGCACAUUGUCUCGACCCGCCCAGGGUUCGAGUCCCUCUUGAUGUA